GAUGAACGCUGGCGGCGUGCCUAAUACAUGCAAGUCAAGCGAACAGACGAGGAGCUUGCUCCUCUGACGUUAGCGGCGGACGGGUGAGUAACACGUGGAUAACCUACCUAUAAGACUGGGAUAACUUCGGGAAACCGGAGCUAAUACCGGAUAAUAUAUUGAACCGCAUGGUUCAAUAGUGAAAGACGGUUUUGCUGUCACUUAUAGAUGGAUCCGCGCCGCAUUAGCUAGUUGGUAAGGUAACGGCUUACCAAGGCAACGAUGCGUAGCCGACCUGAGAGGGGGCUCGCCCACCCGGGAACUGAGACCCGGUCCAGCCUCCUAGGGGGGGCAGCAGUAGGGAUUCUUCCGCAAGGGGCGAAAGUUUGACGGAGCAACGCCGCGGGGGGGAUGAAGGGUUUCGGUUCUUAAAACUUUUUUAUUAGGGAAGAAAAAAUGGUUAAGUAACUUUCCCCGUUUUGACGGUACCUAACCAGAAAGCCCCGGCUACCUCCGU
rnacentral:rRNA from 1 species